AGAGUUUGAUCAUGGCUCAGAAUCAACGCUGGCGGCGUGCCUAACACAUGCAAGUCGAACGCGAAAGUGGAGCAAUCCAUGAGUAGAGUGGCAAACGGGUGAGUAACACGUGGGUGACCUGCCUUCGAGCGGGGGAUAACGUCCCGAAAGGGACGCUAAUACCGCAUAACAUCCUGCCUUUGAAGAGGUGGAGAUCAAAGCUGGGGAUCGCAAGACCUAGCACUCGAAGAGGGGCCCGCGUCCGAUUAGCUAGUUGGUGAGGUAAUGGCUCACCAAGGCAACGAUCGGUAGCCGGCCUGAGAGGGCGGACGGCCACACUGGGACUGAGACACGGCCCAGACUCCUACGGGAGGCAGCAGUGGGGAAUUGUUCGCAAUGGGCGCAAGCCUGACGACGCAACGCCGCGUGGAGGAUGAAGAUCUUCGGGUCGUAAACUCCUUUCGAUCGAGACGAACGGCCCCGGGGUAAACAAUCCCGGGAGUGACGGUACCGAGAGAAGAAGCCCGGCUACUCCGUGCCAGCAGCCGCGGUA
rnacentral:rRNA from 1 species